UACAGAGGUCUCAAGCGUUGUUCGGAUUCAUUGGGCGUAAAGGGUGUGUAGGUGGCGCCGUUAGUCGGGUGUGAAAUUUCGGAGCUUAACUCCGAAACUGCAUUCGAUACUGCGGUGCUUGAGGACUGGAGAGGAGACUGGAAUUCAUGGUGUAGUAGUGAAAUGCGUAGAGAUCAUGAGGAAGACCAGUGGCGAAGGCGGGUCUCUGGACAGUUCCUGACACUGAGACACGAAGGCCAGGGGAGCAAACGGG
rnacentral:rRNA from 1 species